GAAAUCACCUGAGGAGUUUUAACAAUACAACGAUUGGGUCAUACUUGAAGAGACUCUGAUUUAUGUGGUCUGAGGUGUGGCUGGGGUUUGGAAUUUUAAAAGCUUUGCUAGUGAUUCUAAUGUGUAGACAAGGUUGAGAUACACUGCCGUGCAGAAAAAGGAGUAGCAGAAUAUCUGACUGGUUAUUAGUCCCUUGGCGCUCUGAAAUUUCCAGUUACUGCUCAUUUUUAAAAGCUUACAUUUAUGCCUAGGUCAGACAAGAGAUGUUGCUUCCAAUAACCAUCUCUUAAUGACUGAUGUAAUGACUUGGGGAUAUGGAACAACUCAGCAGAGAGCAUCAAAGAUAAAAGGUUUUUUGGUUGUGAGGUAUGUGGGGUCUGAGCUCCCCCACCAUGGAGUGAAUCAGCAUCCCCUGUAUUGGAAGGUGAAGUCUUAACCAGUCGACCACCAGGGAAGUCCCAGUACUAAUUCCUUACUUAUUCUGAGUUCAAGUCUUUUCGGAGAGUUUUGCCCUUUGAUUAAGUUUGUUCUAAAUUGCUCCCCCCACCACUGAAAAGUAAGUAGGCUUUCAGCUUUUUCAGUGCUGUUAAGUCUGGUUUUUUGGUUGUCAAUAUUUUGGCUUUUGUUUUUUAUUCUUAUGAGUCUAUAUCUUUUUUAAAAAAAUUAUGUAUGAAAAUUUUGGUGA